UUUUUUUUUUUUUUUAUCUCGAGUAGGAUUGGCGUUGUCCAUAUUUAAUGACACCCCGAAAUUACAAUUUUGUCUGUUUUUAAGGAGAUUUGCAUCAGUUAUCAGAAUAUUUUAAUAACUUCGGAAGAUUUUCGCGAUUUUUUUUCGUAUAUUUUACAAUUCAGGAGAAUUCCAGAAACCCUUUAAUAAUAAGUUAAAAUGGUUUAUUUUAAUUAUUUACACCUAUUCG